rnacentral:rRNA from 1 species
GCCAUGUGGUCCUGUCCUGUGGGGUAGGACUAAAGGGUGGAUAGCCCGCUUCCGGAUGGGCCCGCGUCCCAUCAGCUAGUUGGUGGGGUAAAGGCCCACCAAGGCGACGACGGGUAGCCGGUCUGAGAGGAUGGCCGGCCACAGGGGCACUAAGACACGGGCCCCACUCCUACGGGAGGCAGCAGUUAGGAACCUUCCGCAAUGGACGGAAGUCUGACGGAGCGACGCCGCUUGGAGGAGGAAGCCCUUCGGGGUGUAAACUCCUGAACUGGGGACGAAAGCCCCGUGUAGGGGGAUGACGGUACCCAGGUAAUAGCGCCGGCCAACUCCGUGCCAGCAGCCGCGGUAAUACGGAGGGCGCGAGCGUUACCCGGAUUUACUGGGCGUAAAGGGCGUGUAGGCGGCUUGGGGCGUCCCAUGUGAAAGGCCACGGCUCAACCGUGGAGGAGCGUGGGAUACGCUCAGGCUAGAGGGUGGGAGAGGGUGGUGGAAUUCCCGGAGUAGCGGUGAAAUGCGCAGA